UUACAAGACUCAAACAAAUAUCGACCAAGUGACCUCCUAAAUAAGGAACACUAAAUGUGAAAAUGACUUGAGGAUUAAAUAAAUCUAGUACUCACAGCUACUGAUUUCUUUGUACUGCAGUGACACCUGGUGCUCAGCUGCUGGAACAAACUGCCAGACUGCAGUCUCUGAGAGAAACCCUGGACCGACUGAAGGAUGAAGUGUCUGAACACGUCGUUACCCAACAUCCCGGAGCUCGGGUCUCCACAGACUUUGCUACGUUUCCAUCCACGUCAUUUGUGAAGGUGAAGGAGGAGAAGCAGGGGGACACGGUUCUGGUGGGUCGGGUCAUGGUUCCGUGUGCACGUGGUCAGGAGCAGGUCCAUCGUCUGGUUCUGUCCCAGUCUCAGCUGCACAGAGUUCACUCUCUGCUACAAACAUAGUCGUUCGCUGCUGUCGCUACUGUCAUCGCUGUCAUCCGCUUCCCCAUCUCUGCAUCAGUGCUAGCACCGGAGCAUUACAGCCGGCAACAAACGUCGAUGAGGUCAGAGGUCAAACAUUACACAUUACACUGUCUUUUCAGUCGCACUUGUCAGAGUUUGGGCCGUGGUCAGAGAGUGUUCUGUGUUCUGUGGGUCAGUCUGCUGCUGAAUAAUCUCACAUAUUUUGGCUGUAAUUUUAACUUAUCAAAAUUAGAUGGUUACUAUUUGAUGAAUUAUUCAAAAAUUAUUGGUUUUACUAUUUAAAUGUGUGAAUUGUGGAUUGCGGAGAAAAUUAUGAAAAAACCAUAGUCAUAGCUGUAAAAAUCAUCGGAGUCAUUUUGAGGUCUGACUGCUGCUGGUGUGUUUAUGGUCACAGAUGAUGACAGUGCAGGUUCUUAACUCCUGCUCUGUUCUACUGAAAACCCCAUUCUAUAAGCUGCUGAGUAUUUAUUAAUUAUUGAAUAAUCUGUUGUCCAAGUGUUGAAACUGCUGUGUGGUUCAUACCAGACACCAACACUGGAGGUCGCUAAACUUACACAAAACUUAAUCAAGGGAACUAUUUAAAGUAAAAAGUAAAGAUUGAUGAUUUAGUGUUGUGCACAUUUGUUUGAGCAGCAGGAAAAAAUAAAUCCUGUUUAAAUGUUUAACUUUAUUCAGGGCUUAGUUUCCUCAAAACUGUAAUAAUCUGAGAUUUAUGUUAUUUUAAACACCAUCUCAGCUGCACUUUAGUCAGAUAGUUAUUUAUUAUUUAUUACAUUGUGUGUUUAAAGUGCUGAGUUUAGAUUGUGACUCUGGUGUUAUUGAUGAAAACUGGAUUUUGUUACAGCCUUAAAUCAGUGUCUGUUCACAUGAAGCUUUAGGUUGAUCUGAACUCGGAUGCAUGUUUUUGGCUGUAGGUUUAAGACUUAGUUAAAUAUAAAGUUUCAAACUGUUGAAACUGGAUGGAUGUGCGGUGGGAACGUAACCACAGCUUCAGCAAGAGAACUAAACUGUUGUCAUUUCUCCUAAGAGCUGAAGAUUAUUCUGUCUGAACUGUUUCCUCCUGACACUUCCUGUUCCUGCUCGAGUAAUACCCAACAAUUAACACAAUAAAGACAGUUCAAACUCUU